rnacentral:rRNA from 1 species
GACGAACGCUGGCGGCGUUCCUAAUACAUGCAAGUAGGACGCAGUUGCGAACGGGUGAGUAACGCGUAGGUAACUACCUAUUAGAGGGGGAUAACUAUUGGAAACGAUAGCUAAUACCGCAUACUAGUAGAUGGAACUGCGUUGUAUUAGCUAGUAGGUAGGGUAAUGGCCUACCUAGGCCACGAUACAUAGCCGACCUGGGAGGAGUAUCAGCCAAACUGGGACUGCGACACGGCCCAGACUCCUACGGGGGGCAGCAGUGGGGAAUAUUGGGCAAUGGGCGCAAGCCUGAAUCAGUAACGCCGCGUGAAGGAAGACGGUCUUCGGAUUGUAAACUUCUUUAGACAGGGACGCGGUACCUGUAGAAUAAGCCACGGCUAACUACGUGCCAGCAGCCGCGGUAAUAC